GUUCAUGGUUGGGGGUGGAGGUAAGAAAUGCCAUAAGGAGGACUAUAAGUGACUUUCUGGCCAGCCAAAGAAAUGUCAUAGAAGAAGAAAGAAGGAAGAUACAAAUGAGAAGAGAAAAGAAGUUGGCAUCUCAGAGAGAAGCAGAAAACCAGUCUCUCCCUUUCCUUCUGUCAAGAAGGCUAAGAGAUACCUCUCAGUACAUCUAGAAGACCAUGCGUGAAGUUAGUUAAGAGCAACAGCAAUAACGAUCUCCAAGUCAUUGACUAAACCACCAAUAGGAGGCAAGCUGAGUUAUUUUAAGUGUUGACACAGGCCCAGUGGAUCUCAGGUCGAGGACAUCUGCCCUGACUUAGGCAUUUAUUAAAAAAAUAUUGUUCUGUUCUGGAAUUCAGAAAAACUUAGAAGAA